AAGUCGCCCCCAGGUCGGGUUGUAUCAGCGCAAUGUUCGUCUGUACUUAUCUACUUCGUUGAUAAAAUAUUUCGCCAAGGGGAAACAAUACGGCGUAAUGAGUCACUAUGUAAACGUUAUUAACUAUCAAGGAUGCAAAUAGCCUUUCAAAAUCUGAGGAAGACAUACGAUGAAAUUUUUUUUCCAUAACACUCUAUAUAUAUCUAAAGAUUAAGCUAUGCUCUGAACUUGUUAAUAUUGCACAUAUUAUCAGAUAAUACUCGUUUAACCUUAAUGCAAACGAGAUCAUCAUAAUUUUGCCGAUUUUUGCAAUUAAAAAAUAUUUUCUGAAAACUCCCGCACCCCUUGAACGUUAUAAAUAAAUAACUUUUUCAAACUCAAUUGAGUUCUUUAUUGGUGUACAAUUAUUUAACAAUUUUAUUGAACACUGUGUUCACAAGUGACAAAAUUUGAUCGUCAAGAAACGAAUAACAAUUUCGAGCAGCAAUUUUUUCACAGCAACAUUCGCGCGAUGUAAUAAAAAAAAUGUCGGGCACUCUAUCACGAUCACGAUUUCGAUCACGAGCGAUCUCUCCGACUUCUGACUACCUUCCGCUGCGAACGUUCUACGCGAGAUGGCUGCGGUUGACUGCGUUGUAGCAUGUUACUCGUCUUGGAAGUUAAGGCCUGUUAUAAACCGCGGGAGAGAGGGGAAGGGCGUCUGUUCGUGGGAGUCGUUUAUAUUUUCGGCGUGCAGUGUUUAUUACCUCAUACUAAUGGAAUUUUAGUAAAUGGAAUGCCAAAAGAAAGUUAUUUCGAUGUCUGAUAAUGUCACAAUUAAAUAUGGUAGAAAGAAUAUGCGGUCCUCAACUGGAAUUAGACAAAUUUAAUCCUGCGCGCGCGAAAGAAGUCCGUGGUGCGCGGAUUGAGAGCGGAGAUAACAAGAAUAAGCUUAAUUUUCGUCGAGUUAUUAGAGCACGAGGAGAGAAAGAGGGGAAUUGAGUUAGCUGAGGGCGUAUACCACGAGGAUUAUUGUACGGCCUGUAAAAUCCAGGCUGGACCGCGCGAUCAAAUAUUUAGAAGAAUUUUCCAGGCAUAUCAGACUAAGAAGAGAAGAAAGAGAGAGAAAGAGAGCGAGAGCGUAUGUGUCCUGAACGUGCUUUAUAUAUAGCGGAGCUCCUUCCAGCUGCUCACUUCAAAAAGCCCGGGCAGUGAGUCCACGGGAAAGUCUGUGAAACUUUAACAGCGUCUUAAAUACUUAACUCUCGCCCGCAUCGGUUCUAAACUUAGCGAUGGAAUUACCGUAACUCCUUCAGUUACAAAUAACCCUCAUAUUUGAGGUCGUAAUAUCGUAACUUAUUGCGAUGAAUGCGGACAAUAAGCUCGUAGAUUAGGUAUUUAUGCAGUAAAUUCAAUCAAACAUUUAAUUUACUUAUUCAAGGCCAUUGCCUUCGAAGGGUAUAAAGAGAAUGUAGCAGAAGGUGGUCUUAGCCUCGAUUUUAACUCGUUACUUGUUAAAACUUGUAAAGACGAGCUUUUUGUGAAUAUUGAAUUUUUCAUAUUCUGCCUUUUAUAUUGAAUAGCAUUAUUGAGCGACUUGGUAGCAAUGAAUAAUACAUUAAUUAAAAUCUUAAACUUGAAAAUAGAGAAAAUUACUCUAUA